rnacentral:rRNA from 1 species
UGUGACCUCAAAUCAGGUAGGACUACCCGCUGAACUUAAGCAUAUCAAUAAGCGGAGGAAAAGAAACUAACAAGGAUUCCCCUAGUAACUGCGAGUGAAGCGGGAAAAGCUCAAAUUUAAAAUCUGACAGUCAAUUGGCUGUCCGAGUUGUAAUCUAGAGAAGCAUUAUCCGCGCUGGACCGUGUACAAGUCUCCUGGAAUGGAGCGUCAUAGAGGGUGAGAAUCCCGUCUUUGACACGGACUGCCAGGGCUUUUGUGAUGUGCUCUCAAAGAGUCGAGUUGUUUGGGAAUGCAGCUCAAAAUGGGUGGUAAAUUCCAUCUAAAGCUAAAUAUUGGCGAGAGACCGAUAGCGAACAAGUACCGUGAGGGAAAGAUGAAAAGAACUUUGGAAAGAGAGUUAAACAGUACGUGAAAUUGCUGAAAGGGAAACGCUUGAAGUCAGUCAUGUUAGCCAGGGAUCAGCCUUGCUUUUGCUUGGUGUACUUUCUGGUUGAUAGGUCAACAUCAAUUUUGACCAUUGGAAAAAGAUUAAGGGAAUGUAGCAUCUUCGGAUGUGUUAUAGCCCUUGGUUGCAUACAAUGGUUGGGAUUGAGGAACUCAGCACGCCGCAAGGCCGGGUUUUUUAAACCACGUACGUG